rnacentral:lncRNA from 1 species
UUUAACUUUGGGCCGGAUCACCCGACCCGACCCGUUAGUUUGUAACCUGUAUAUAGUGUAGGUGAGAUAUUUUCUCACCUACCGGACUUCAUUUUCAUUUUAUUUUCUCUGUAAUAAACUCUCUCUCUAUUCUAGAGAGUUCCUAACGCUCCUCCUUCUCUCUAGUUUCUCUCUCUACAUUUUCCAUGAUUUCUCGGCAUAAUAUCAAUGUUCACAUGGUAUCAGAACCUAGACGACGAUCCGACUGUGUUUAUCUGUAUCUCGUUGUCUUGGAUGAAGUCUGUUUCUAGAUUUUUGGGGUGUUUCUGAGACCUUAUGGUCGAUGAUGAUUCCGACCUAAAUCGGAUGCUUUUCUGAGAUUUUCUUCAUGAUAUCUGAGUAUAUCUUCUCCACUCGAACGUUCUGGGAGGUUUUCCGAUGAUUUUUGGGUGAUUUUUUCGAUGACCUAUCGGCUUCUAGGGUUUCUGGUGGUUUAACCUAGAGUUUUACUGCUUUCCGGUGGCUCGAUUCUCACUCAGGUCUAGGGUUUAUGAUGGUUUAACCUAGAGUUUUACUGCUUUCCGGUGACUCGAUUCUCACUCAGUAGAUGUUUUGGGUGCUUUUCCGACAUCACUGACCACACUUCCAGUAAGGAUUUUGACAGUUACACCUAGGGUUUUGUACCUAGGGUUUUCUCUGUUGUUUGAAGGCCGAUCUUCUCCGGCCGCGAAAAAGGAGGGUAACUCUGUCCUUAUCUUGAGUAUUCUAUGUUUUGUGCGUGAUUAUCUGACUCCGUAUGUGAGUAUUUUGUUUUAUGUGUGAAUAUCUGGUUUGGCUGUACUCUGUUUGUUGAAAUUUUUUAAGCCGG